rnacentral:lncRNA from 1 species
AUGACUAAGGGAAUUUCGUCCUUCGGAAAGCAUCACAAUGAGAAGCACACACUGUGCUGCUGCUGUGGCUCUAUGGCCUACACCUUCAGAAGUUGACCUGUGACAAAUGUGACUUCCCUGCCAAGCACAAGAGAACGUAUAACUGGAGUGUAAAGGCUAAGAGACAAAACAUUUCCUGGACAUGGCAGAUGAGGCACCUAAAUAUGUCUAUCACAGAUUCAGACCUGGAUUUUGUGAAAGGGCGACACCUAAAUCCAAGAGGGCAGCUGUUGCAGUAUCCAGUUCAUCUUGA